rnacentral:ncRNA from 2 species
GAGGAAGCCGGUGAGACUCCGGCGCGGUCCCGCCACUGUGAGCGAGCCGGGCGCAGCCCGAGCGCGUGAGCCAGGAACUC